CAGAAAAUUGGCGGAUUAUCUUCGAAAAAUAUUUUGACUCAAUUUGAAUCGUGUCACUCAACCCAUUAUAAUAAACGAACCUCAUAAAAUCGUUUACCGCUUCUCCUUAAUCCAUUUGUGUAAUACUGAAUGCUAAGUAAGAGUGGAAAGCUUCCACCAUCCACCAGACCAUUACAAGCACUACAUACGCCAUCUUCAAUAUCGUAUAUUUUCAGUAGUCAACUUGACUAGCUCUUAUUGGCGGUUUUAUUCAAGAGAAGAUUCAUCCGGUGAAAAUUCAAGCAACUAUUACUGCACUAGCAAUUGGAUCGGUAAAUAGGCGAGAUCUGAAAGUUUCGGUAAAGUUUUAGAUUACAUGGCUUAGUUUCACACGCUCUUUAUAUUCUCAACCUUCCGACGCAAAUCACCAGAUUCAAUAAAUGAGUCCUACUCCUACACCUACUCUUAUCACUUGUAAUCCAAAAAAGCUCCAUUUCUUUCUUAUACGCUAAUUCACUAUUAAAUAGAAAUGUAUAUGCAAAACAGCGAGAAAUUUGUAGAUACGUUGAAUGUUGUUGCUUUCACAUUUGCAACUCUUAGUAGUUGUUCAAAACAACAAUGUCGAGCAAAGAUGUUUGCGAUGUUUGAAUGAUUCUUGGAUUGUAUUUGGAUUCCAUCGGUACUAUGGCCUGUUGAUUCGGCACCUUUGUCAUUUUAGCAACUUUUGUUUUCUUUUCUGUGUCGAUGUAGUUCUCUAUACCAUAUUCAUGUUCAUAUCAAUGUCCAUAUCAAGGUCCAUAUCAAUGUCCAUAUCAAUUUCCCAUGUUCCAUUACAUAUCCCGUGUUCUUUCCUUCUUCCAGCUUUUACAUGCUAGCCUUUUAUACAAUGAUUCCUCUCAUCUCGACUCGUUUGAUGAAUGGGCGUUUAGUUUUUGCAACAACAUAUGCGUUGGGUUAUCUCAUAUCGGGAAACACUUUCUGCCACUUUUAACUUGAACAAAGUUGGAGAAAUAAAGUGAUGGCAGAUAUUGCAAGUUGUUUAUAGUGUGCCUGUAGAAAUGUAAAAACGCUAUGUUUCGUGAAUGCCCAGCCUGUAAAUCGAAAUAAGAUUUCGUAUUUAUUAAGCAUUGGAAGAUCACAAUUGUGACUUUGUGGGUUUCGUAAAGAACAUCAUAUAGAUUUCUUUGACCAAGUGUAAUAAAGCAAAACACACGGACAUAGUAUGGAUAUGGACACAGCAUGGGUAUGGACACAAGCAACACUACCAGUCGUUUGAAACGAUGAAAUGGGCAACAAGUCGAUUUGUUUUUCAUCUAUCAAUCGUUGUAAUUCACAUGCAGCUACAAGACGACACGUUAUAUUUAGGGUGCAAAGCAGGUAGAGAUUUCAUAGGCAUAUUUCGAAGUACCAGCUUUAUGCCAAAACAUGCAUGCAUGCAAGAAACUCCAUAACUUCGUUUGCGCAACUCCUGCUUAUCGUCUUCUUUCUAUACCCAUACUGUUGGAUCAAUGAAUGAACGUAGCAAUAGAUACAAGAUAUAGCGCCACACUUUUGAGCAUAUCCUAAUGACAGUAAUUCGUUUUGUUCUAAGCGACCAAGUAUUCGCUCUUGCAACACUAUAGUUCUCACUUUGAGGAAACAUUCCUUUGAUGCCCAUGUUCAUUCCACUUGGAUGACAGAAUCCUCGAUAGUAUUAGUAUUAAUGAAUUAACUGUCAGGAUGUGUUGUCGUUCUUGAAGUAAGUCUUGUGAAAGAAACCACCGAGUUAAAAAUAGAGAUCUUGAUGGUUUUAUAUAUAAAAGUUUAAUGCUUGCCUAUUUAUACAUUUCCCAAGGACUGCUGAGGUAGAUGCGUUGUUCAGUUGACUAGGAUUUGUUUGAAUUCAAAGAUUAUCUAUUCAAGUCUUCUUUAUACGUUUGCAUGUGUUUGAUAAGAAUUCCAUUGAUUCAGAAAAAAAGUGCCAACAGUUUUUCCAACUUGACUGACACUACAACCUUCCAAUCAUAGCCAUACUACUAUGGUAUAAAA